AUUGAACGCUGGCGGAAUGCUUUACACAUGCAAGUCGAACGGCAGCACGGACUUCGGUCUGGUGGCGAGUGGCGAACGGGUGAGUAAUGUAUCGGAACGUGCCCAGUCGUGGGGGAUAACGUAGUGAAAAUUACGCUAAUACCGCAUACGAUCUAUGGAUGAAAGCGGGGGAUCGCAAGACCUCGCGCGAUUGGAGCGGCCGAUAUCAGAUUAGGUAGUUGGUGGGGUAAAGGCCCACCAAGCCAACGAUCGGUAGCUGGUCUGAGAGGACGACCAGCCACACUGGAACUGAGACACGGUCCAGACUCCUACGGGAGGCAGCAGUGGGGAAUUUUGGACAAUGGGCGAAAGCCUGAUCCAGCCAUUGCGCGUGCGGGAUGAAGGCCCUCGGGUUGUAAACUGCUUUUGUACAGAACGAAAAGGUUUCUACUAAUACUAGGAGCUCAUGACGGUACUGUAAGAAUAAGCACCGGCUAACUACGUGCCAGCCGCCGCGGUAA
rnacentral:rRNA from 1 species